GGUUAUUUUGGAAAUGGAGGGGAACUUACCACAGGUCUUUAAGCCCCUCAAACAUCUGACUUACCUUCGGCUAGGCAGAAACCAUUUCCAUUUCAUUCCUUAGGGUCUACCUGCAUCUCUACUGUACCUGUGGGAAACCAGUGGCACUUGAACAGCAAUUAUGGCAAACCAAAAUUUGAAGCUGCUUCAAAUUAAAUCAAAAGAGUUGUACCUUGAAAACAACCUGAUUGAAGACAUCUCUGACACGGCAUCACAAACGUCAACACCGUUGUGUUAAGACAUAAUAAAUUAGAUGAGUCAAGUAUUGGACCUUUAACGUGGAUUGAUCUCA